rnacentral:rRNA from 1 species
UACGGAAUGUGCAAACGUUAUUCGGAAUCACUGGGCUUAAAGAGUCCGUAGGCGGCAUGUUAGGUGAGGUGUGAAAUCCCCCGGCUCAACCGAGGAAUUGCGCUUCAAACCGGCGUGCUUGAGGAAGAUAGAGGUGGGCGGAACUGAUGGUGGAGCGGUGAAAUGCGUUGAUAUCAUCAGGAACACCGGAGGCGAAGGCGGCCCACUGGGUCUUUUCUGACGCUGAGGGACGAAAGCCAGGGGAGCAAACGGGG